rnacentral:rRNA from 1 species
CGUGCCUAAUACAUGCAAGUCGAACGAGUUCUCGUUGAUGAUCGGUGCUUGCACCGAGAUUCAACAUGGAACGAGUGGCGGACGGGUGAGUAACACGUGGGUAACCUGCCCUUAAGUGGGGGAUAACAUUUGGAAACAGAUGCUAAUACCGCAUAGAUCCAAGAACCGCAUGGUUCUUGGCUGAAAGAUGGCGUAAGCUAUCGCUUUUGGAUGGACCCGCGGCGUAUUAGCUAGUUGGUGAGGUAAUGGCUCACCAAGGCGAUGAUACGUAGCCGAACUGAGAGGUUGAUCGGCCACAUUGGGACUGAGACACGGCCCAAACUCCUACGGGAGGCAGCAGUAGGGAAUCUUCCACAAUGGACGCAAGUCUGAUGGAGCAACGCCGCGUGAGUGAAGAAGGCUUUCGGGUCGUAAAACUCUGUUGUUGGAGAAGAAUGGUCGGCAGAGUAACUGUUGUCGGCGUGACGGUAUCCAACCAGAAAGCCACGGCUAACUACGUGCCAGCAGCCGCGGUAAUACGUAGGUGGCAAGCGUUAUCCGGAUUUAUUGGGCGUAAAGCGAGCGCAGGCGGUUUUUUAAGUCUGAUGUGAAAGCCCUCGGCUUAACCGAGGAAGCGCAUCGGAAACUGGGAAACUUGAGUGCAGAAGAGGACAGUGGAACUCCAUGUGUAGCGGUGAAAUGCGUAGAUAUAUGGAAGAACACCAGUGGCGAAGGCGGCUGUCUGGUCUGUAACUGACGCUGAGGCUCGAAAGCAUGGGUAGCGAACAGGAUUAGAUACCCUGGUAGUCCAUGCCGUAAACGAUGAAUGCUAGGUGUUGGAGGGUUUCCGCCCUUCAGUGCCGCAGCUAACGCAUUAAGCAUUCCGCCUGGGGAGUACGACCGCAAGGUUGAAACUCAAAGGAAUUGACGGGGGCCCGCACAAGCGGUGGAGCAUGUGGUUUAAUUCGAAGCAACGCGAAGAACCUUACCAGGUCUUGACAUCUUUUGAUCACCUGAGAGAUCAGGUUUCCCCUUCGGGGGCAAAAUGACAGGUGGUGCAUGGUUGUCGUCAGCUCGUGUCGUGAGAUGUUGGGUUAAGUCCCGCAACGAGCGCAACCCUUAUGACUAGUUGCCAGCAUUUAGUUGGGCACUCUAGUAAGACUGCCGGUGACAAACCGGAGGAAGGUGGGGAUGACGUCAAAUCAUCAUGCCCCUUAUGACCUGGGCUACACACGUGCUACAAUGGAUGGUACAACGAGUUGCGAGACCGCGAGGUCAAGCUAAUCUCUUAAAGCCAUUCUCAGUUCGGACUGUAGGCUGCAACUCGCCUACACGAAGUCGGAAUCGCUAGUAAUCGCGGAUCAGCACGCCGCGGUGAAUACGUUCCCGGGCCUUGUACACACCGCCCGUCACACCAUGAGAGUUUGUAACACCCGAAGCCGGUGGCGUAACCCUUUUAGGGAGCGAGCCGUCUAAGGU